rfam:Myotis brandtii contig184372, whole genome shotgun sequence.
GGCGGUUCUUGGGUGACAUACGCUGGAAUUGGGCUCCCUCCUCUCCAGUUCUGGGUGCGUCACCUGAGAACCACA